CGGACAAUAUACAAGGUGCUGCAUGGUUGUCGUCAGCUCGUGCCGUGAGGUGUCGGGUUAAGUCCCAUAACGAGCGCAACCCCUACCUUUAGUUGCCAUCAGGUUAAGCUGGGGACUCUAAAGGAACUGCCUACGCAAGUAGUGAGGAAGGCGGGGAUGACGUCAAAUCAGCACGGCCCUUACGUCCAGGGCUACACACGUGCUACAAUGGCCGAUACAGAGGGCAGCUACCUGGUGACAGGAUGCAAAUCUCCAAAGUCGGUCUCAGUUCGGAUCGGAGUCUGCAACCCGACUCCGUGAAGUUGGAUUCGCUAGUAAUCGCGCAUCAGCCAUGGCGCGGUGAAUACGUUCCGGGCCUU
rnacentral:rRNA from 1 species